ACCUCAAAAUCGGCCUU
rnacentral:rRNA from 1 species